UGUUUAAAUUAUGUUUCUUAGUUAAUUAAAUAAUUAAUAUUUAUGUUUAACCAGGGGUUCGUGAUAUCUGUGGCAGGAAUUUUUAAGCGAUCCCAGGAGAUGAUUGAUAGGGGAUUCGGGAGGAGAGGACUUAUGACAUUGGACAUAGAUAGAUUUAGAUUCAUUUUGUCAUAAGUAAUUGAUCUUGUAAAUAAAUGUUACCAACUUUAUUUGAGACAUUUGAAAUUGAAUUAUUGAUUUAAUUAUCAUAAAUGAUAGAUUUUUAGUAUUGA